UACGUAGGGGGCAAGCGUUGUCCGGAAUCAUUGGGCGUAAAGAGCGCGUAGGCGGCCCAGUAAGUCCGCUCUGAAAGUCAGGGGCUCAACCCCUGAAUGCGGGUGGAUACUGCUGGGCUAGAGUCCGGAAGAGGCGACUGGAAUUCCUGGUGUAGCGGUGAAAUGCGCAGAUAUCAGGAGGAACACCGAUGGCGAAGGCAGGUCUCUGGGCCACUACUGACGCUGAGAAGCGAAAGCAUGAGGAGCGAACAGG
rnacentral:rRNA from 1 species